GGGUCAUGAAGCUGCCCAACAUCUACUGUGGAGUGCUGGGACUGGUGAGGUGAGGUAGCCUAGACAAAGUCAAAGCAGAGGUGUGUAUUUUGCAUUCUUUGCAGAAGCAGCCACAUAAACUUCUUUGACAAGACUGGAGCAAU